rnacentral:tRNA from 1 species
GCGGCCGUAGCUCAAUUGGCAGAGCACCCUUUCUUACAAGAUUGGGAGGUGGGGGUUCAAAUCCCUCCGGCUGUA